CCUACGGGAGGCAGCAGUGAGGAAUAUUGGUCAAUGGGCGCGAGCCUGAACCAGCCAAGUAGCGUGAAGGAUGACUGCCCUACGGGUUGUAAACUUCUUUUAUAAAGGAAUAAAGUGAGGCACGUGUGCCUUUUUGUAUGUACUUUAUGAAUAAGGAUCGGCUAACUCCGUGCCAGCGGCCGCGGUAAUACGGGGGAUGCGAGCGUUAUCCGGAUUUAUUGGGUUUAACGGGUGCGCAGGCGGAUUUUUAAGUCAGCGGUAAAAUCGUGGGGCUCAACCCCGUCCAGCCGUGGAAACUGGGGAUAUAGAGUGUGCGAGAGGUAUGCGGAAUGCGUGGUGGAGCGGUGAAAUGCGUAGAUAUCACGCAGAACCCCGAUUGCGAAGGCAGCAUACCGGUGCACAACUGACGCUCAGGCACGAAAGCGUGGGGAGCGAACAGGAUUAGAUACCCUAGUAGUC
rnacentral:rRNA from 1 species